rnacentral:rRNA from 1 species
UACGUAGGGGGCUAGCGUUGUCCGGAUUUAUUGGGCGUAAAGAGCGUGUAGGCGGCCAGGUAGGUCUGGUGUGAAAACUCGAGGCUUAACCUCGAGAUGUCAUCGGAAACCAUCUGGCUAGAGUCCGGGAGAGGUGAGUGGAACUGCGAGUGUAGAGGUGAAAUUCGUAGAUAUUCGCAAGAACACCAGUGGCGAAGGCGGCUCACUGGCCCGGUACUGACGCUGAGGUGCGAAAGCGUGGGGAGCAAACAGGG